AACAAGAUGAACAUGAUCUCAACAUAGAGAAUAUGGAGUAAAUCAUCAAUAUCACCACAAUCAAUAUCAACUCAUCUGAAGCAUAUAUGGAAUAAUCAAGUAAACGUAUAUGCUACUCAUGAAUAUGCUCAACAGAUCAUAAUGCUAGAACAUACAAAUCAGGUGUCAAUAUGCUGAAAUCAUCACUAGACAGCUGUCGGGAGGUGGGUUUUACGCCCCAGGCGAACCAGCAACAACUUCCUACUGUCACAUGCCUAUGCAGGAUAAGACACCAUAUCGAUAAUGUAAAUGCUAGACAGCUGUCGGAAGGUGGGUUUUACGCCCCAGGCGAACCAGCAACAACUCCUUACUGUCACAUGCAUAUGCAGGAUAAGACACCACACUAAUCAUGUAAAUGCUGGCCA
rnacentral:lncRNA from 1 species